UUUCACUGCAAGGAGGCAAACCAUAAUUACUCGUCAGCAUCUAUUAAAACGGAUGCAGAAUUUCUAGCUAUUUCUGAAAAUAGAAAAGCAGAGGAACUGAAGCGCGUGCCAUCCUGAGAUCAUCUUUCGUGAGUAGAGGGACCGAACAAAUCAAUCGCCAGAGCAUGGAAUCAACAUGCGACAGCCUUUUGCCUGUCUCCUCGUCACAAGUAAAAUGUUGCCAUUCCAGAAGCCUCUCUUAAAGUGCAAAAAUAGAACAAGAAAUAUUUCCAGUGACUACUUCAUUUUUUGACAUUCUCUACCAGCAAUCUGGGGGAUAGAGAAACUUUUUUUUUCUCAGAAUGGUAUCGUAGAGAUAACGAUAUAUAAAUGUUGGAGCACCUUCUACUUAUAUUAAACGUCUUUUUCUGAAUCAAGACAUGUUAUCCAUCCAUGAAGUAAUAAGGCUUUCGUGAUUCCAUAUAGCUUUGGAAUUGACGCCGUUUAUGCUGAAUGUGGUAAAAUAUUCACCAAAAAU